UGAGGAAUAUUGGUCAAUGGGCGCAAGCCUGAACCAGCCAUCCCGCGUGCAGGAAGACGGCCCUAUGGGUUGUAAACUGCUUUUCCAGGGGGAGAAUUUUUCUGUCGUGACAGGAAUUGACGGUACCCUGGGAAUAAGCAUCGGCUAACUCCGUGCCAGCAGCCGCGGUAAUACGGAGGAUGCGAGCGAUAUCCGGAUUUAUUGUGUUUAAAGGGUGCGUAGGCGGAUUGAUAAGUUAGUGGUGAAAACCUGCAGCUUAACUGUAGAGUUGCCGUUGAUACUGUCAGUCUUGAGUGUGGUCAAGGUAGGCGGAAUGUGUAAUGUAGCGGUGAAAUGCUUAGAUAUUACACAGAACACCGAUUGCGAAGGCAGCUUACUGGGCCAUUACUGACGCUGAUGCACGAAAGCGUGGGGAUCGAACAG
rnacentral:rRNA from 1 species